rnacentral:lncRNA from 1 species
GAUAAAGGAUUUGGUUUGGGAAGUUGAUUAUUAAUCUCAAUCCAUUGUUUGGUGUGAGAUGGGAAUUACUAGUGGGAGUUUCGCAGGAAGAACAUCUUCAAAGUUUGUUUCAUGAGUGCCUUGCACUGGCGAUUCGGAGGCGACGGUUUCCUCUGGUGGACUCCGGCAGUGCAGCGGCUUCUGGAUUCCCUUCAUUCGUUGCUCCGGCAGCGGAUGGAGGGGGGGCUCCUAUUUGUCUCCCGUGUUGUUUGAGGUAGGAUCGUUGUUUUGUUUGUUGGUGCCGGGGCGGUGAGGACGGUGUCGUCCAAUAAAUUUGCCUCGGUUUCUUUCUCACCAUGGCGAUGCUCUCCAUAGCGUCGACAACGGGCGGAUGGCUUUGUGCACUUGUCGUUCUCUCGGGAUGGCGAGUUUAGUUUUUUUUUUGUUCGUGGAUGGUGGUCGCUGCAUGUUGCGGCGACGGCAACAGCCGGGACUAAUUGGUGUUCCUAAAACGGGGAUGAUGGUUUGUAGGCGGCGGAUCCGGUUCUGUUCCCUGACCUUGUCGGCGUGGUGCAGCGGAUUCGGGUCCAGGCUAGCACGGGGACAUUCCCCCGCCGAUGCGCCACAACGUUAUGUGCCUUGCUGCUCGCAGCGGGCAUGUUCUUCGGCUUUAAAAGCCUUUUUGACGAUGGUGCGACUCCGGAUCUUGCAACGAUGGAGGUUGGGCUAUAGUUCUGAUGAGCGUCUCGACGACUCAGAAACUUGGAGGCAGUCGCUAGUUUCGAUGUGUGCAGAAUCCUAAUGAACAUUCUUGUAAUCUUCUUUGUUUUGGGGUUUAGUCCGCAACGUUUCCAGGAAAUCUAUUUUUCCCUGGCACUUCUACUAGUUUUUGUGUGCGUCUGUUCUUGUAACUCAGUUAUUGUUUAAUGAAUGACAUUGUUACUCUAAAAAAAGGUUUGUUUUGUGUGUUUUUCAUGAGAGUAAAACACAUAACUACUCUAUCAUGAGAUUUGGG